GACGAACGCUGGCGGCGUGCUUAACACAGGCAAGUCGAACGGAAAGGCCCUGUUUUUGUGGGGUGCUCGAGUGGCGAACGGGAGAGUAAGACGUGUGUAACCUGUCCUUGACUUAGGGCUAACUUCAGGAAACUAUGGAUAAGACCGUAUAGGCGCUCCUGCUGCACGGUGGGGGUUGGAUAGUUUCGGCGGUUGGGGAUGAACUCGCUGCUGUCGGCUUGUAGGGGGGGUAGUGGCAUACCAAGGCUUAGGCAGGUUGCCGUCCUGGUAGGGUGAUCGGCCACAUUGGGACUGAGUUGCGGCCCAGACUCCUACGGGAGGCAGCAGUGGGGAAUAUUGCACAAUGGGCGGAAGCCUGAUGCAGCAACGCCGCGUGCGGGAUGGCGGCAUUCGGGUUGUAAACCGCCUUCGCCUGUGACGAAGAGUGAGUGACGGUAAUGGGUAAAGAAGCACCGGCUAACUACGUG
rnacentral:rRNA from 1 species